GUAUUUCUUCACAAAGCUUACAGCGAAUAGCAACAGUCAAACUCCCAGCUUGGUUUAGGAUUUGAUCAACGAAGCAAGUAAAGGUAAUGCUAUGGAAUCAACAAGCACUGGGCAUUUCUUGCUGGGGGAAAAUGGUACUAACCAUUCGGACAACAGUUGCUUUAGUGCUACUCCGACCACGGUACUAAAUGGUGUGAGUUUUGGUGGAGUGCAUGUUGUUCUGCUUCUUGACUUCAUCGUCUUCAUAGUGUUGCUUCUGAUCUUCUCUUGCAUCAGGAAGAAAUUAUGGGAUUAUGGAAGACUUGCACUUGUGGCAGAGGCAGACGGGUCAAAUGAGGUUACUAGACGUCGUUCUAGUAGGAUGACAUCUUUCAUGUCAGUGGACGAGUCUGAGCAUGAGAGGGGAUGUUCUUGGCUCACCUUAAUCAUCAGAAUGGAUGAAGCAGUGGUAAGAGAGAGGUGUGGGAUGGAUGCUGUUUACUAUCUGUCUUUCCAACGUCAUCUUAUUAUUUUGCUGCUCAUCGUCUGUGUGCUGUCUGUCUCUGUCAUUCUUCCAGUCAAUUUGUCUGGAAAUCUGCUAGGGAAUGAUCCUUAUAGUUUUGGCAGAACAACCAUUGCAAAUCUUCAGCAGGGGGAUAAACUACUUUGGCUCCACACGGUGUUUGCAGUUCUUUACCUCAUCCUCACCGUGGCACUGUUGAAGCAUCACACGUCACAAAUGAAGGGCAGCAAAAGAGAAACAGCUAGAAAAACCCUGUUUAUAUGCUCAGUUCCAACCACAGCCAGUGAAGACAAUUUAAAGAUUCAUUUUACAGAGGCCUACCCAACCUGUCAUGUAAACGAUGUUCACCUCAGUUAUGAUGUGGCCAAGCUGAUCUACUUGACAACAGCAAAGAAUCGAGCAGAGAAAAACUUGCUAUAUUACCGCAAGGUCCUUGAGUGUUAUGGUCGAAGGGAAGUCAUCAAUCCUCGUCCAUGCCGACAUUUCUGCAGCUGCUGCCCAUGCCAAGCGUGUGAAGGGGUUGAUGCUAUAGAAUACUACAGUUCCCAGGAGGCUGGACUUACAGAGGAAGUGUUGAAACUUAAGAACUGUAAUGAGCAGCGUGCACUGGGAAUGGCCUUUGUCACCUUCCAGACUGACUCUAUGGCAGCUUAUAUUCUGAAGGACUUUAAUGCUCUUGACUGUGGAUCUGGGGAAAUAACCGGAGAAGGCAUGGUGAGAAAAAUGUCCUGUGGUUGUGGUAGAGAGCCUCAACCUUCAUCCUGCAGUGAAUGCUUAAAAGUAAAAAACUGGAAAGUCAGCUACGCACCCCAUCCAAAUAAUAUCCACUGGGAAAAUCUGUCAGUGCAGGGCUUAAAGUGGUGGUCCCGUUGUAUGCUGCUCAACAUCUUGCUCUUCAUCAUGCUCUUCUUCCUCACCACACCCUCAAUAAUUAUCUCCACCCUAGACAAGUUUAAAGUCACACAACCCAUCUACUACCUAAAAAGUGCUGUUAUCAGUCAGUUCUUCCCAACCCUGCUCUUGUGGUCAUUUUCUGCAUUGUUACCUACUAUAGUCUACUAUUGUACGGUGCUGGAAGCCCAUUGGACCAGGUCAAAAGAGAAUAUAAGUAUGAUGUAUAAGCUGUACAUCUUCCUGCUUUUUAUGGUGCUCAUCUUGCCAUCACUGGGACUCACCAGUUUGGAUGUGUUUUUCCGAUGGCUGUUUGAUUCUCAGUCAGAACGAAAGCUGAGGUUUGAGUGUGUUUUUUUGCCAGAUCAAGGUGCUUUCUUUGUGAAUUAUGUGAUUGCAGCUGCAUUUGUGGGCUCUGGAAUGGACCUGUUGAGAUUGCCGGGAUUACUGCUCUACACUGUGCGAAUGGCACUUGCAGGUUCAGCAGCAGAAAGGAAAUAUGUUAAACAGAAUCAGGCAUAUGAGUUUGAAUAUGGAGCAAUGUAUGGAUGGACUCUGUGUGUCGUCACAGUCAUAAUGGCCUACAGUAUAACCUGUCCUGUAAUUGCCCCAUUUGGUUUCUUGUAUAUAACCUUAAAACACCUGGUGGACAAGCACAACCUGUACUUUGCAUACUUGCCUGCUCGCCUUGAUAGACAGGUGCACCUGGGAGCUGUCAAUCAAGCACUUGCUGCACCGAUCAUCUGCUUGUUCUGGCUUUACUUCUUUUCUGUGCUGAGGGCAGGUUUUAUGGCUGACACAUCACUCUUCACAUUGGUGGUUCUGUGUGUGACCAUUUUUAUUUGCAUUGGUUAUACCUGCUUUGGCCACUUUAAGUACCUCAGUCCACACAACUAUGUGGUUAAGGAGGAAGAAGACUCUGAUGUAACUUCAGAAAGUUCAAGUGACACUGUGUAUCUUCCAAAGGUAUUAAUUCCUAACACUGACUCGAAUUCUUCCUCUAAGCCCAGCUCCCAACAAUCAUACGGCACUACGGAUCAAAGCCCAGUCUUUCUCAGCACUGAGGAUGAGUGACGUGGCUAGAAUAUUCAACUGGUUGGAAGUAAACAGACUUGCAUAAUCAGAUUCUUCGGCUGCGAUGCACACUUAAGGCAUAGGGCAAGGCUGAUGCCUUGAAAUAAACACUGCAUUCUGAUGGAAACCUGUUUACCCGCCGAGGUUAAGGAUUAAAGUCGAGACUGCAGUGACAACGAUGCUGCUCCUGCCGGAUGUGACGGGUCUGGAGUAAUUGCACCAAGAAUGACAAGAAAUCACUACAGACUUUAUUGAAGACUAGAGCGAAUAACAACUCUAUUAUUAUUUAUCUAUUUAUCUAUUUAUUACCAGUUAUAACUUUUAGAUCAUUUAAUUCUGUGUUUGUAGGCUUUGUGUAAAUCGUGCAUUUAUUUAAAGUACCCUCCAGACCACCCAAUAAGGAUGGGCCCUGCUGAGUCUGGUUCCUCUCAAGGUUUCUUCCUGUAAUUUUCAGGGAGUUUUUCCUUGCCACAGUCGCCCUCGGCUUGCUCAACAGGGGUUUUUGUAUCUGUUGGUCCUGGAUUUUGUAAAGUUGCUUUGAGACAAUGUCUAUUGUAAAAAGCGCUAUAUAAAUAAAGUUGACUUGACGACUUGUAGUGGGCUCAGUGGGUAGCACUGUCGCCUUACAGCAAGAAAGCCCUGGGUUUGAUCCCCAGGUGGGAGUGGAGUUUGCAUGUUCUCCCCGUGUCUGUGUAGGUUUCCCCCAGGAGCUCCGGCUCACAUUCCCAUCUUUCAUUAAAUUCCCCUCCUUCUGUCUCAAUUUUCUCUUCUUGUACGUUUAGGUAUUAUUUGAAAAUAUUUUUCAGCAUUAUCUAGUGGCAGGAUGCGGUCACUUUGUAGGUCACAAAAUCGGCAUGCAUUGUGAGAGAUGCAGUUAAUGUACGAUUUACAGUGUAUUUUAAGACAGUUGUUCUGCCCUUGCCAAGUUUUUCCCCUUUCUCAGCUGGACAGACAGCUCCCUCCAAAGUACAGUUAGCAGUAACGAGUAACGAGUUAGUUCUUUGUGUAAAAAUACUAAUUGCUGUAGUAACAUAAUAAUCGUAUUUAAUUAUGGUAAAUUUGUAACCGAAACGCUGUAACAUACUCGCUAAACAUUUACAAAUAACUGAGAAUAUAAAUGUCUACUACUAACAGACAAUGAUUCUGUAUUGGAUUGCAAGAGAAUUAACUUCUAUUUUUUUUUUUUUAUGCUACUGACUACACUACCCCUAAAUGUAAAAGUGACAUGGCUUUUUAGCAAAGGUCAAAGUUAGUUGCCAUGAUUGUGAUGUCAAUGGUUGCUGCUUAAAGACACUUGACUUGAUGACUUGUAGUGGGCUCAGUGGGUAGCACUGUCGCCUUACAGCAAGAAAGCCCUGGGUUUGAUCCCCAGGUGGGAGUGGAGUUUGCAUGUUCUCCCCGUGUCUGUGUAGGUUUCCUCCAGGAGCUCCGGUUUCCUCCCACAGUCCAAAGACAUGCAGUCAGUUUAAUUGGAGACACAAAAUUGUCCAUGACUGUGUUUGAUAUUAAACUUGUGAAGUGAUGAAUCGUAACUACUGUUUUUGUCAUGAAUGUAACCAAA